rnacentral:misc_RNA from 1 species
CGCGGACAGAUGUGGCGCCGC